rnacentral:rRNA from 1 species
UACGUAGGGGGCAAGCGUUGUCCGGAAUUACUGGGCGUAAAGGGUGCGUAGGCGGCCUAAUAAGUCAGAUGUGAAAUACCGAGGCUCAACCUCGGAGGUGCAUUUGAAACUGUUGGGCUUGAGUGCAGGAGAGGAAAGUGGAAUUCCUAGUGUAGCGGUGAAAUGCGUAGAGAUUAGGAGGAACACCAGUGGCGAAGGCGACUUUCUGGACUGUAACUGACGCUGAGGCACGAAAGCGUGGGGAGCAAACAGGAUUAGAUACC